rnacentral:rRNA from 1 species
UACGAAGGGUGCAAGCGUUACUCGGAAUUACUGGGCGUAAAGCGUGCGUAGGUGGUUUGUUAAGUCUGAUGUGAAAGCCCUGGGCUCAACCUGGGAACGGCAUUGGAUACUGGCUUACUAGAGUGCGGUAGAGGGUAGUGGAAUUCCCGGUGUAGCAGUGAAAUGCGUAGAUAUCGGGAGGAACAUCUGUGGCGAAGGCGACUACCUGGACCAGCACUGACACUGGGGCACGAAAGCCGGGGGAGCAAACAGG